rnacentral:snRNA from 1 species
UUGGAUGAUUCACUUGGAUGAUC